rnacentral:rRNA from 1 species
UACAGAGGGGGCAAGCGUUGUUCGGAAUUACUGGGCGUAAAGGGCGCGUAGGCGGCCCGCUAAGUCGAACGUGAAAUCCCCAGGCUCAACCUGGGAACUGCGUCCGAUACUGGCAGGCUUGAAUCCGGGAGAGGGAUGUGGAAUUCCUAGUGUAGAGGUGAAAUUCGUAGAUAUUAGGAAGAACACCGGUGGCGAAGGCGGCCCACUGGAUCGGUACUGACGCUGAGGUGCGAAAGCGUGGGGAGCAAACAGG